rnacentral:lncRNA from 1 species
GCAAGAGAACAAAAAAUUUCGGUUGCUGAUGGGAGUCUUUGAUGAGCAAUAGAAAACAAAAGGAGAGAAUUCGGCAGAGCUACUUUUGUAACUUGGGACUCUUGUUUUCGGUGGGGACCACGAGAGGAGAAAAGGCUUUUCUUCAUUUGGCCUUUAAGAGAAGUAACGUACAGAGAUGGGAAACAAGAAGCAAUUCGGCAGGACCCACCUUGUGGACUUGGUUUCUCUCAAUUCGGCAGAGUUCCCUUCUGGGACUUUGACUCUAAAUUUCAGCGGGGACCACGGAGAGAAAGCAUUAGGGAUUAGUCAUUUUGGCUUUAAAAAGGAAGAAACGUACAGGCGGCUAGGUAUAAUAGUUUUAGCUUAGUUUUUAGGAUAGUUUUAGUUUUUUCGUUUCUUUCUUGGCUCUUUUGAUGGCCUGGACCUCAGUGGAAUUACUUGAAGAUUUUCUCAUGAGGUGUGGCUAAGUUUGUCUAGUCAAGAACAACGGAGGAUUUGGUUCUACUAAAUUUGUGAGAUCGAAUUAGUUUUUAUUUAUUCUCAUUAUUCACUGGUAUUUGUCUGUCUUCUGCUUUAUGUUCAUAUGGUUGUUUUAUUAUUCGAUUAUCCAGGGCCCGGAUUCUAGAUUAAUUCAAUAACCUGAAGCCAAUUAGGGUAGUUAAAUCCGUAAUUGUUUAAUUAUUCUAAACUGGUGGCAACUGGCAUGAUUGGGUUUGUGUCAGGGAGAUAGGCAGGCUAACUUAAAGAGACCCUCAUAGCGUGUUGAUUGGUUAGAAUUAGGCUCUUCUAAUUAUUCAUGCAAUUAGGGAAUUGAACUUCUAUGGUCGUACCUAGGGUUAUUUCCUGAUUAGAGAAAUAGUCAACGGUCGUACCUUGGCUAUCGACAAGUUGAGGAAGAGUUGGUUGUUUAUCGCGUGUAUGACAACUAUAACUAAUUUAUCAGAUAGUAACUGGAAUAAUCCUUGCAUCUGUGAUCAAAUUAAGUGAACCAUCUCCGAAGUUGUCUCUUGGCUAGAGUUCGUCCUUUAUUAUUUUUAUUGUGAUAAUUAGUUAUUUGAGUUGUAGUUAUUUUAUUUUAAUUAAUUUAUUCCAAGUAAUUUAGUUACUAUCAUUUUCAAAACCCCCCAUAUCUGGAACUUGAGAAGAAAUUAAAUUAUUCCCAGUCCCUGUGGAUUCGACCCUACUUACCGCUAUAUACAGAAUUUGUAUUUUAUUUAAGCAGGCAUUUAUUAUUGCACAGGUUUGACGCCUGUCAAUUUUUGACGCCGUUGCCGGGGACUGGUGCCAGAUUAAUUUGUUUCUUUUUGAGUUCAUCUUGUUUUUAUUUUUUUUAUUUUUUAUUUAUUUUUCUCUUAUUUUUUAUUUAUUAUAUUUUAUGGCUUCUAACACUCCGUAUUUUGGUGAUAGACUGGAUUUUGUUUCCGAGGAAGGCGAUGAGACUAGUUUUUUUGCUAAGUUUGCAUAUUCAGAGGCAGUAAACUCUAUUAGAGAAAGAAUGGCUGCUGCAACCUGUAAAAUUUGUUAUGCCAGGGAUCAUUCGACCGGUAUGUGCCCCGAAUAUCAAGAUAAUCUGAGUGUCCCACUCAAUAAUUAUGGAGAUUUUUCACCAUGGUCUCAAACGUGGUAUAACCCUAAUCCAAACGGGUAUGAUCAAGGAUGGUGGGAUAACUCCAGUUAUAAUUAUACAACAGGGCCACUAGAUUUUCAACAGCUAGAGUCUCAAGAACCGUCAUCCAUGUCAGGUAUGUCUCUUGAAGAAAUGGUUGAAUUAAUAGCUACUAACACAUAUCAAAUUCAACAGGAGGUACAUCAACUUCAACAGGAGACACAAAAGAUGAGUGAAGAGAUGAAAGAAGCAAGGCUUGAAUGGACAUUUAAAACGAGCAAUUUGAUUUCUCCAGUUUACGAAGAAUUGUCCUCACCGACUAUUAUCGACCAUGAGGAAGAUGAGAGUGCAAUUAUUCUGACAAAUGACAUGGUACUGCAAGAGUCUCGAGAAAAAAAAUCUAAAGAUGUAGUUGAAAAGAAAGUUGAAGAGCACGAAUUGAGACCCCAACAUCAAAUGGUUCAAGUGAAUGAAUCCAGUGAACUAUCUCCAAAUGCGGUGACAUCUCCUCCAUUCCUUGAUCAAUAUUUUCCUGACUCUUAUUCUUUAAUUCCUGUUAGUGAGAUUGAUUUUAUUAUACCAGACGAUUUUGAAUUUCAUGCCAGGAAUAAAUUAAGAGUCAUGAUGGCAAAAUAUCUCAAACCAGCAAGUGCUUGUGAUGGAGGAGUGAAUGAAGAUUUAAGGUCAUUACUUGGUUGUUUGGUGCCAUUUACUAGUCCAUGGAAGACCGUAACUCGUGUGCUCAAAGAUUACUCCAUCUAUGAAGGUUACCAGGAUCACAUUGAAGAUGAAGCAUUGAAACGAGCCACAAGAUUUUAUCCUCCAUGAGCAAAACAUGAUAAUGUCUAGCCAAAGACAUUAAAGAAAGGCGCUACUUGGGAGGCAACCCAAGACUAUUUCUUUCAAUUUUCAUUCAUUUUUGAAGUUCUAGUUAAGUGUUAGUGUCAAUUAAUAGUUUGAUGUUUGGUGACAGGGAAUUAGCAGUUAGACGUGCCCACGCCAGGUGGUCACGCCUGAGGGAAAAGAAAUUUUCGUUCAGGAUCUGCGGACUCUAUAGCAGUUAGACGUGCCCACGCCAGGUGGUCACGCCUGAGGGAAAGAAAUUUUCGUUCAGGAUCUGCGGACUCUAUAGCAGUUAGACGUGCCCACGCCUAAGCCAGAGGUUCCUUGAAAAAAAAAAAAAUCAAAAAUUCAAAAUAAAAACAUUUUCCGUUUUACACCUUCAGUUUUGGUUCUCACAAUUCGAGUUUUGAAAUUUGAGUGUGCAAUAAAAAAAUAAAAAAAAAAACUAUUUUUGCCCUUUUUUCUUUCUUCUUUCUUUCUUUCUUCUUCUUCUUUUUUCUUUCUUCCUUCUCCCCUGCUCUCUCUCUGUUGUCCGAAAGCCACUCGCGCCGCCCACCUCACUCACGCCGCCACCUCGCGUCUCGCGCAAAGGACCAGCCAGCCAUCCACUUCGCACCUCGCCGACCCUCGAUGCUUCCACUCCAGGCCGCUCGCCGCUGCUGAAGCUCCAUCGCCGCCGCCGCUGCCCAUCUUCCUUCCACACGCAGCUCCUUCCUCGCGCAGCCACAAGCCCACAGGCGCGCGGCAGCAGCCUCUGUCCCGCCGCCCACUUGCCCGCGUGACCGUCACUGCCUUCCACCACCAGCUCGAUCUCACCGCAGCAGCGCCGCCCAUCUCCCUCGCGCCGCCAUCACAGCUCACCCGCCUCUCCACCGCCGCCGCUGCUGAAGUUCCCUCCGCUGUCUGCGCGCGCCACUCUAGCUCGCUGGUCCCUCUCUGCUCGCAUAGCCAACUCCGCCGCAGCUCCAUCGCGAGCCAACGCCGCCACCGAAGCACUUGGACGCUGCCAACAGCCCCAGCCAACCUCGCACGCUACUCUCUUCGGUGGAGGUAUUUGGAAUUUAUUUCCCAAUUUCUUAAUAUUCAUUGGUGCUGUCUGGUUUCUCAAUAAUUGGUAUUGUUGGCCGUUGGGGGUUAUUUCUUCAAUCGUGUGGUAAACCAGUGGUAUUGGUUGUGAUAUUUGACCCGGAUCUUGUUCAUUCCUAGUUUGCCAUACUCGUGAGAAUAUUUGUUGAACUUUUGGGUACAUUUGUCGAGUUUUUGGGUGGGCUGGAUUUGUGAAAUUGUCUUUUGCUAAUUGGGAGGCAGCUUUGCUUGUGUUUUGAUUGUUGCGAUUCUCAAUUGUGAGCAGUGUUAAUUGUUAUUUUGGUUUGUCGGUGGCCUGAUAUUGGUGGUGUGUGAUUUCUCUUCCAUAGUUUACUACACCAGUGGUACUGGUGGGGUGAUUGGACCUCAAUUGGGUACUUCUAUUUGGUUGGCUAAAUGAUUAUUGUCCAAGCCCUGAGCUGUUAUCUUUGAAAUUGCUGAUUUUGGGUUGCGACUUCUACUGGCCAACUGGAGCCAUUUGUUGAGUAUUUGGGUGAGCUGAAAUAUUGUUUGUUAAAUUGGGAGGCUUCUAUACCCUCUACAUUGCUUAUUCCAGUUCAGUGCAUCUAGUUGAAAUGCUGGGGGUUUGAGAUUCAGUUGUUAAUGUCAUAGUUUUCCACUACUAUUGCUUGACUUGUUCACUUCUUGAGGCUCACUGCUGGGGACAUUUGUUCGAACUUUUGGGGGGAAUUGUUGAAGUUCUUGGGUGGGCUGGAAUUUUAACAAUUGUCUGUGAUAUUUUGGGAAGAAUCUCGGCCAGUGUUGUGCUUGUUGAAAUUUUGGUUGAUUUAAUUCGGCAACUGCAUUCCUUGUUGGCAUUAGUAGUUUUUAAUCGAGUUUUUGAGGACAUUCUGGAUGUUGGUUUAUAUUGCUGAUUUGGAGGAGCAGUGUCUGUGAUUUUGGUCUGAUCAUUUGUGCAAUUUGUUGACUCAUUUGAGGACUUAUUUGUUUCCUGGGUUUGUUUAUUGACUUCGGUGGACUGGGUUCCCACCUACGGUUCCUCUACUUGCUCUAUUCAUUGGAAUUCCAGUCGCCUGUUGCUCUUCUUUAGAGGUUUAGAAUCUUUCUUGUGACUAGAUUAACACUUGGGGUUAUUGCUUUACUACUGAUCUGCUUUGCUAUAGCAAUCUCAUUGAUUUUGAAUUGCGAUUUGCACCAAUGGUAAGGGUGCGAGUACUUGUUAACUCUAUUUGGUUAGAGAUCUGAUUGACCGCCAAGGGCUUGCGACUGCGCUGCUAUUACUAAAGUUCUGAACUGAUAUUGCUGGAUUUAGCACAUUAUUGGAGACGUUGUUGAGAUUUUGGGUGGACAGAGCUUUGCAUUUGCUGGUUGACUUGAUGUCUCACCACAUCGGUGCCCCUCCGCUGUUCCCGCCGACCCCUUAGCCACUCGAGAGGGAAGUUUCGUUGUCCUUUUCACUUUAAUUGCUUUAUUUCCUCCAUUGAGGACAAUGUAGGAUCUAGGUGUGGGGGGGGCAGCUGCGCUAGUUUUUCUGUUUUUUAGUUUUUUUAGAUGUUUUUGCUUUCUUUUUAAUUUGCUAUUUGUCCACCUCUCGUUCAAUUUCUUUCUUUCUUUCUAGUGACUGGCUCGUAAGUGCAUGCCAAGGUUUGAUGUUGGAUUAUUGCCUCUAUUUCUACUUUUGCCAAGUUUUUAUAAUAAAAAUGUAUCGAGUUAAUGUGGCUGAAUCCAAAAACAUCUCUUUGGUGAAUAUCGAUGAUUGUUUCACUCUUAUAAUUUUUGGUUAACUUUCCUAGGCAUAGGGAAUGAUUAUUGGCAUUUUUAUGUGAAUUGGUUCGGUUAUUAACUUUAGUUCUCCAUGUUUGAAAAUGAGUCUAGCUGAUGCAAGUUUUCUUUUGGUUCUUGUGUUAUAUUGAGUUUUUGUGAUUUUUAGCUAUGAAUAAACUUGACUGUACUCCGCUAGUCUUUACUACUGAGUAACCGGGGAUCUGCACCUAAAAGUGUUGAUUCUCGCAUCAAAAGGUAGUAAUUCCUAUGAGUACGUGGUCACGUGGCGAUAGAAGCUGAGUAACCGGGAUCCUUCAUCUGGCCAAUGUUGGAGUUCGCGUCAAAAGGCUCUAAUGGCUAGCGACUAAGUCUUUUGUUACUAUUGAGAAAAGAAAAAAAAAAGAGAAAGAGAAGAAAAAAAUGUAUUAGGGAAAGAAAAAAGUGAAAGUUAAAAAAAAAAAUGUGAAAAAAAAGUGAAUGUUGUGUUAGUGUAUAAUAAAAGUCAGCUUGCCGAUUUAUGGAUUUAAUGUUGAGAUUUUGGUUAAUAGUUGGACCAUUUACUGAUAAAUAUUAUGUGUCAUUCCUUUUUCUUAGAUUAGUUAACCUGGAAUUAGAGGAGUUUGUGGUUUAGAAGCUAACCGGAGUGAUGUUUCUUGGACUUGACCAUUGAUGCUUGAUUAUUAUUUUCCUUGGUAUCUUGGCAAUAGGGUAGAUGGAGCAAUAACCAUUUUCAAAUUUUGGUGUUAUUUGUCGUCCCAUGCUUGAGGGCAAGCAUGAUUUAGGUGUGGGGGGAAUUGAUAGGGUGUUAAUUGUUAGUAAUUUUAUUGUUAAUUUUCCCUUGUCCCUACCAAAUAUUGUUUUAAAUUGUUAAUAUAUACUUAUAUUUGGUAUUUGGACCUAUCUACAGGAAGUUGAACUGACAAAUGCUAAUAAGGAGAUUUUACUGAGAAAAAUUCUCCACACAUUAGAGCCUCCAGCGGAUUUACAAGUUGGGCCCACAUGGUUCUGCAAGAGAACAAAAAAUUUCGGUUGCUGAUGGGAGUCUUUGAUGAGCAAUAGAAAACAAAAGGAGAGAAUUCGGCAGAGCUACUUUUGUAACUUGGGACUCUUGUUUUCGGUGGGGACCACGAGAGGAGAAAAGGCUUUUCUUCAUUUGGCCUUUAAGAGAAGUAACGUACAGAGAUGGGAAACAAGAAGCAAUUCGGCAGGACCCACCUUGUGGACUUGGUUUCUCUCAAUUCGGCAGAGUUCCCUUCUGGGACUUUGACUCUAAAUUUCGGCGGGGACCACGGAGAGAAAGCAUUAGGGAUUAGUCAUUUUGGCUUUAAAAAGGAAGAAACGUACAGGCGGCUAGGUAUAAUAGUUUUAGCUUAGUUUUUAGGAUAGUUUUAGUUUUUUCGUUUCUUUCUUGGCUCUUUUGAUGGCCUGGACCUCAGUGGAAUUACUUGAAGAUUUUCUCAUGAGGUGUGGCUAAGUUUGUCUAGUCAAGAACAACGGAGGAUUUGGUUCUACUAAAUUUGUGAGAUCGAAUUAGUUUUUAUUUAUUCCCAUUAUUCACUGGUAUUUGUCUGUCUUCUGCUUUAUGUUCAUAUGGUUGUUUUAUUAUUCGAUUAUCCAGGGCCCGGAUUCUAGAUUAAUUCAAUAACCUGAAGCCAAUUAGGGUAGUUAAAUCCGUAAUUGUUUAAUUAUUCUAAACUGGUGGCAACUGGCAUGAUUGGGUUUGUGUCAGGGAGAUAGGCAGGCUAACUUAAAGAGACCCUCAUAGCGUGUUGAUUGGUUAGAAUUAGGCUCUUCUAAUUAUUCAUGCAAUUAGGGAAUUGAACUUCUAUGGUCGUACCUAGGGUUAUUUCCUGAUUAGAGAAAUAGUCAACGGUCGUACCUUGGCUAUCGACAAGUUGAGGAAGAGUUGGUUGUUUAUCGCGUGUAUGACAACUAUAACUAAUUUAUCAGAUAGUAACUGGAAUAAUCCUUGCAUCUGUGAUCAAAUUAAGUGAACCAUCUCCGAAGUUGUCUCUUGGCUAGAGUUCGUCCAUUAUUAUUUUUAUUGUGAUAAUUAGUUAUUUGAGUUGUAGUUAUUUUAUUUUAAUUAAUUUAUUCCAAGUAAUUUAGUUACUAUCAUUUUCAAAACCCCCCAUA